GAUACUCACUUCGUAAGUACUGUGUAAAAAGAUAGGCCAAGAAACGGUCAAGAAACGAUUUUCUGCCAAAAUUUCUUGAGUCGUACUCAGCUGAAACAAAAUAAUCGAUGAACUUGAUGAUCAUUGAUGAUGGUGAUGAUUGUGUCGAUCAAACCAGGUUGUCACUUUUCCUUGUGGGAAAAAUAGGCUGAUCAAUUAUUCCGCAAGUAAAGUGACGUUUCUGGUCAGGUUGUGAUCUUUAUUUAUGUUUGUUUUCUGCCAUCAGUCGUUGCUUUGAAGAAGUGGUAAAGCUAAUGAGGAUAAUUACCAUUGCGGCGAGCAUUGCGGCACGGUCAAUUGCCAUGGCCUGGCCUCCGGCACAAGCUGUUCCGUGGUCACCGUAUUUGUUCGAUAGUGCGCCAAAUGUUUCCAGGAACCAGAUAUAUUAUUCCGACGCAUUCUGUGCUCGAGCUACUUCCACGCCCAUCGCGUACAAGAAAGGAUUAUGCGCUGUCCGCUGCCCUCAGAGCUGGGUCAGAUUUGUUGAGGAAGACUGCUUUUUCCUGCUGGCGGGGCAUAGUGAAACCCGAUCGCUGCGGUUGAAACGGUCCACC